CAUGCAAGUCGAACGAUGAAGCCUUUCGGGGUGGAUUAGUGGCGAACGGGUGAGUAACACGUGGGCAAUCUGCCCUUCACUCUGGGACAAGCCCUGGAAACGGGGUCUAAUACCGGAUAACACUCUGUCCUGCAUGGGACGGGGUUAAAAGCUCCGGCGGUGAAGGAUGAGCCCGCGGCCUAUCAGCUUGUUGGUGGGGUAAUGGCCUACCAAGGCGACGACGGGUAGCCGGCCUGAGAGGGCGACCGGCCACACUGGGACUGAGACACGGCCCAGACUCCUACGGGAGGCAGCAGUGGGGAAUAUUGCACAAUGGGCGAAAGCCUGAUGCAGCGACGCCGCGUGAGGGAUGACGGCCUUCGGGUUGUAAACCUCUUUCAGCAGGGAAGAAGCGAAAGUGACGGUACCUGCAGAAGAAGCGCCGGCUAACUACGUGCCAGCAGCCGCGGUAAUACGUAGGGCGCAAGCGUUGUCCGGAAUUAUUGGGCGUAAAGAGCUCGUAGGCGGCUUGUCACGUCGGAUGUGAAAGCCCGGGGCUUAACCCCGGGUCUGCAUUCGAUACGGGCUAGCUAGAGUGUGGUAGGGGAGAUCGGAAUUCCUGGUGUAGCGGUGAAAUGCGCAGAUAUCAGGAGGAACACCGGUGGCGAAGGCGGAUCUCUGGGCCAUUACUGACGCUGAGGAGCGAAAGCGUGGGGAGCGAACAGGAUUAGAUACCCUGGUAGUCCACGCCGUAAACGUUGGGAACUAGGUGUUGG
rnacentral:rRNA from 1 species